rnacentral:rRNA from 1 species
UACGGGGGGAGCAAGCGUUGUUCGGAUUUACUGGGCGUAAAGGGCGCGUAGGCGGCAAUUCAAGUCACUUGUGAAAUCUCCGAGCUUAACUCGGAACGGUCAAGUGAUACUGCUUUGCUAGAGUGCAGAAGGGGCAACCGGAAUUCUUGGUGUAGCGGUGAAAUGCGUAGAUAUCAAGAGGAACACCGGAGGUGAAGACGGGUUGCUGGGCUGACACUGACGCUGAGGCGCGAAAGCUAGGGUAGCAAACGGG